rnacentral:rRNA from 1 species
GACGAACGCUGGCGGCGUGCUUAACACAUGCAAGUCGAACGGGAUUUAGUAAAAGGAAUCCUCGGUGGAAGAUUACUAAUGAGAGUGGCGAACGGGUGAGUAACGCGUGAGCAACCUGCCUAUGACAGUGGGAUAGCCUCUGGAAUCCGGGAUUAAUCCCGCAUAAAAUCGUAGAAACACAUGUUUCAACGGUCAAAGAUUUAUCGGUCAUAUAUGGGCUGGCGUCUGAUUAGCUAGUUGGUGAGAUAACAGCCCACCAACGCGACGACCAGUAGCCGGUCUGAGAGGAAGAACGGCGACAUUGGAACUGAGACGCAGUCCAAACUCCUACGGGAGGGAGCAGUGGGGAAUAUUGCAAAAUGGGGGAAACGCAGAUGCAGCGACGCCGCGUGAACGAAGAAGGUAUUCGUAUCGUAAAGUUCUGUCCUAUGGGAAGAUAAUGACAGUACCAUAGAAGAAAGCACCGGCUAAAUACGUG